rnacentral:rRNA from 1 species
AUUUAAAAUUCCGGUGGUACGGGACGGGCACGCGCGACAUUAGGUAGUUGGCGGGGUAACGGCCCACCAAGCCGACGAUGUCUAGGGGUUCUGAGAGGAAGGUCCCCCACACUGGAACUGAGACACGGUCCAGACUCCUACGGGAGGCAGCAGUGAGGAAUAUUGGUCAAUGGGCGAGAGCCUGAACCAGCCAAGUCGCGUGAGGGAAGAAUGGUCUAUGGCCUGUAAACCUCUUUUGCCAGGGAAGAAUAAAAGGUACGUGUACCUUCUUGCCAGUACCUGACGAAUAAGCAUCGGCUAACUCCGUGCCAGCAGCCGCGGUAAUACGGGGGAUGCGAGCGUUAUCCGGAUUUAUUGGGUUUAAAGGGCGCGUAGGCGGGACGCCAAGUCAGCGGUAAAAGACUGCAGCUAAACUGUAGCACGCCGUUGAAACUGGCGACCUGGAGACGAGACGAGGGAGGCGGAACAAGUGAAGUAGCGGUGAAAUGCUUAGAUAUCACUUGGAACCCCGAUAGCGAAGGCAGCUUCCCAGGCUCGAUCUGACGCUGAUGCGCGAGAGCGUGGGUAGCGAACAGGAUUAGAUACCCUGGUAGUCCACGCCGUAAACGAUGCUCACUGGAUCUUGGCGAUACACUGCCAGGGUUCAAGCGAAAGUAUUAAGUGAGCCACCUGGGGAGUACGUCGGCAACGAUGAAACUCAAAGGAAUUGACGGGGGCCCGCACAAGCGGAGGAACAUGUGGUUUAAUUCGAUGAUACGCGAGGAACCUUACCCGGGUUUAAAUGUGGAGUGCAUGAGCUGGAAACAGUUCUUUCCCUCGGGACUCUUCACAAGGUGCUGCAUGGUUGUCGUCAGCUCGUGCCGUGAGGUGUCGGGUUAAGUCCCAUAACGAGCGCAACCCCUAUCGCCAGUUGCCAGCGGCUGAGGCCGGGCACUCUGUCGAGACUGCCACCGUAAGGUGCGAGGAAGGCGGGGAUGACGUCAAAUCAGCACGGCCCUUACACCCGGGGCGACACACGUGUUACAAUGGCCGGUACAGAGGGCAGCCACGGGGUGACCCGGAGCGAAUCUCUAAAGCCGGUCGUAGUUCGGACUGGAGUCUGCAACCCGACUCCACGAAGUUGGAUUCGCUAGUAAUCGCGCAUCAGCCAUGGCGCGGUGAAUACGUUCCCGGGCCUUGUACACACCGCCCGUCAAGCCAUGGAAGCCGGGAGUACCUGAAGAUCGUGACCGCGAGGAACGGGCUAGGGUAAUACCGGUAACUGGGGCUAAGUCGUAACAAGGUAGCCGUACCGGAAGGUGCGGCUGGAACACCUCCUUUCUGGAG